rnacentral:lncRNA from 1 species
CUGGAUCCAGCUGAUGACCGUAGCCGCGUCACUCUCCAAGAUGACUGAACCAGCUGAGAGCACACGCUGAGCAUAUCGAAGAUCCACCCAGGCAGCCCUUAGCUCCACACCAGGAACCGUACAGUCAAAUAAUUGACAGCCUUCCGCUGCCACGAAUAUAAAGUUUGGGCUCCUAAUAACGAAAUCCGCUCCACCCUUAGUGCCUCCAUUCAGCACCGAUCCAUCAAAAUUGAUCUUAGGACACGUCUUUCUAAUUCUGGUUUUUAAAAGGUUCUCGUGUCAAGUAGUUCUCGACACUUUGACAUAUAACACCCGCACCAGGUGUUCGAGUAACAUUGGAUCGAACCAACCGAUCAAAUUAGGCUAAACCCAAACCAUAACCUGGGUCGGGUCCUCAGUGAAAUUUGAAGAGAUAGAACAAGACUGCAACUGAUUGGCUUGCAAUAUAUGCGUAUCAACCAAAGUGCUGCCCAAACCAAAACUGAAGGCAAGAGAAGUCGGCACGGAUUGUGCCCACCUGCGUCAUGCAACAAUGGAACAAAAAAAAGGCAUGAAGACUCCGAUAUCCAAAGCGUAUAAAGUUUUGUUAGUCGGAAUUCAAAAAGCCCUCAGAUAUGUACGAAGUACGAACUUUCCUGCCAAAUAUAAGGAAAGCCCCCCCUUUCCUUUCUCUUCUGACCCUUCCAACGUCAAGCCUAUUAACGACCCUAUGCGAAAAACUUGUAAAGCACCACUCGUUUCCUAGAGAUCAAAACCUGUUCAAACCCUGAAGGCAGGCGUCCGCAACAUUACCGUGUCUAUGGACCGUACGGAGGAAGAGGAGAACGAAAAGAGCGUGAUUGGGUGACCUUCUAUGUAGCAGAGCAUGUUGACGAUGUGCUGCGGACCAACUUGGCACUAAUACUCGGGGCACUCUAGAAUAUU